UACGUAGGGCGCAAGCGUUGUCCGGAAUUAUUGGGCGUAAAGAGCUCGUAGGCGGUUUGGCAAGUCGGGUGUGAAAACUCCGGCUCAACUCGGAGACGCCACUCGAUACUGCUAUGACUCGAGUCCGGUAGGGGAGUGCGGAAUUCCUGGUGUAGCGGUGAAAUGCGCAGAUAUCAGGAGGAACACCGGUGGCGAAGGCGGCACUCUGGGCCGGUACUGACGCUGAGGAGCGAAAGCGUGGGGAGCGAACAGG
rnacentral:rRNA from 1 species